rnacentral:lncRNA from 1 species
CUUGCUCUCCCUGGGCUCUAAACUGCUCGGUUAGGGCUCUGUUCAAACAGCAAAUCAAAGGACACGGGGGGGAGCUCCCCAGUCAUUCUGGCUUUGCAGCUGUCUCACCCUCAUUUCCAUGGAAAGCAGAACGCUGCCAGGAAGCAGCUGAUACUAACCCCCUGUUGCUGGGUUGGGCAUGGGAACGCCCCCUGACUGCGGCUGCCUUUAUAGAGCCCGGCUCCUGGUGUGCUGCUGCUUGUGCCACUCCCCGGAGCUAGCAUGUCACCCAUGCCCAAGGCGGCCUUCGUAGGCAUGCUCCUCUUCUGCCUGUGCCCCGGGCACCGAACAGGUAAGCAGCAAAGGGCGUGCAGAGUCCCUGCGGGCAGGAUUGCAGAGGGCAUUCACCCAAGGACUCUUAGCUGUGUCUUUUCCCAUGCAGCCCUGCGGGCCCAGGCAGUCCACGUGCCCACGAGGUGCAUGUGCUUGAAGUUCCAAGAGAAGGUUAAUCCCAGAUUCAUAAUGGAUUUCCAGAUCAUUGAGAAGGGAGCCCACUGCCACCGCCAUGAGAUCAUAUUAACCGUGAAGCAAUGGAGAGGCCCGAGAGAAACGUGCCUUGACUCAUCCAGGAGGCAAGGGAAGAAUCUGCUGCACUGCUGGAAGAGACACCGGAAGGACCCCAGGAAGCAGCGCCACUGCAUGAAAAGGGGGCAGUGACACAGGACCAGGGCAAAGCAGUGAGCACGAUGCACAGGUAAGGCCACGCUCUGGGAUCCAGGGGCAGGCCUCCCGGGGCUCCCCCUGCAUGGGGCCUAGCUGCGGCCACGCGAGAUGAAGCAGGGAGAACUCCCCGCCCAGCUCGUGGCCCACAGCAGGACUUUGAUCCACAGCCUGUCAGCCCAGGCUGCUCUCGCAGUGAGGUGACAAGUGAGUGCGGCCUGGCCAGGCCAGGGUGAGGCUGGGCCAAGAUGUGGGACUGCACACCUUGGGUUUGCCAUACUCUUCCUCCCCAGUUGAGGCUUAUGAGCAGGGUAUCCAUUAUGCAGAGGUAUGAGCCAGAACCUAGGGUUGCCAAUUUUCUAAUUGCACAAAACUGAACACCCUUGCCCGGCCCCUUUCCCUUCCCUGCCCCUUCUUUGAGGCCCCGCCCUCACUCACUCCAGCACCCGUCCCUCCAUCGCUCACUUUUCCCCACCCUCACUCACUUUCACUGCAGGAGCAGGCUCAGGGCUGGGGCAGGGGGUUGGGGUGUGCGAGAGGAUGCAGACUCCUGCUGGGGGUGUGGGCUCU